UACGUAGGGUGCGAGCGUUAUUCGGAUUUACUGGGCGUAAAGCGUGCGCAGGCGGUGAGGUAAGUCAGGUGUGAAAUCCCCGGGCUUAACCUGGGAACUGCAUUUGUGACUGCAUCGCUGGAGUGCGGCAGAGGGGGAUGGAAUUCCGCGUGUAGCAGUGAAAUGCGUAGAUAUGCGGAGGAACACCGAUGGCGAAGGCAAUCCCCUGGGCCUGCACUGACGCUCAUGCACGAAAGCGUGGGGAGCAAACAGG
rnacentral:rRNA from 1 species